GCCGGGUCUGGGACUCGAACCACGGUUGGCCAUGUGGAAUCCAGCGCUUUAGCUACCACACCACCUGCCGGGCCCCUAAAUGCAUUUGGAAAACACGACCAUAAAAGUGAGGAGAGAUGGGUGAUCAACGAUUCACUCUGGGUUUACACUGCCUAAGAGGAAUCGUGCCACCCUGAUGCCUCCUUUAGACCCGGCCCGGAAGGCUCUGCAGCUUGGCGGAGGUGGUUCUUCAGGGCCCACGUGGCCCCCUAGAGACACAGGCAGAACACAGUGGCAAGGGACUCUUGGUUCAUGCAAGGAGGAUCCUGCAGAGAAAGGAAGGACCUUCAGCUCCAGCUUUGGCAAGUGACUUUCGGAGCCACCCGCUCCCGCAGUUUCAGAAGCAGCUGACUUAGUAGAAACUGUCACUCCAGCCCCAGGGGGCCGUGUGCUGCCCUAAAGCUUGUUGUAUUUUACAGUCUGCUCAGUGGCGGGGGACGGCAGGUGGAAGUGGCCAGGGUUCUGCAGAGGGCCAGCUGAGGUUUGCUACGAAGCCGCACGCAGAAGCCCGGGGAGGGGUGGUGUAUUAGCCAAGUGGCUUUCUUCUCUGCUUUGGUCUCGAAGAUGUCAGAAAUGGAGGGUCCCAGAAGCAGCUCCCAAGCGGCCGCUGUGGAUUUCUGGAAUUUCUUUUGCUCCCAUCUGGCCUUUGCUAGAAGACUGGUAGCCAGCAAGCAGAG